ACAUGCACAAGUAUCGAACAUUGGCUACGGCUCUCCACCGCUGCCUCUUUUGAUCAAAAUUUGAAGCCGUAUCGCAGGAGGCGGGACUGGAUUAUGGCUACCCCUGUUAUGCACCACCCCAUAAAAUGCCAUGUAUAACUAAAUUGAUACACCGGCAGUGCUGGGUGCACGUACAGUACGUGAAUUACAAUUUCUCAAUCAGCUCUUUCCAUCUUUCCGAUCCUUCAAAGCCUUUUGAGAAUCGGCAAACAGGCUCCUCAACUCAUAUUUUCUUGCCAUUUUUUCAUUUUGCAUGUUUAAUGACUGUUAAGUGCAUUCAUUUCAGCUAGAGCACAAGCCGCUGAUGAAUUGUUGCUUAUAGGACGACCAGCUUCUUGGCAUUUCUUGAUGACGGCCACUGUUGUUAAGACUUUGAUCUCCUGUAUUGGCCUUUAGUCGGACCGAGAGAGAACACUAUUUCCUUGGCAUCAGAGGCUACUUUGGUACUGUGCAUCACUGGUUCACGAACGACUAUGACAUGGUAGUAGACCCAUUGCUACCAACAAAAUGAAUACUCCCAACCAACACGGCUCUUUUCAACCAAUUAAGUUGUGCUUCUACUCAAGGCAGAUUGAAGUGAUUGCUUGGCUGAAAAAACAGUAAUACAGAUUGGAACUGAAACAUGGUUUACUUAGUUUACCAAGUUUCAGUAGUUUGACAGAGAGACAAGAGCAAGCUAGUCCCUGGAUGCCUUUCUCUGGAGUGUAACAAAUCAGAGAUAUCUUAUCACUGGUGACACUACUCAACAGCCAGAGCACAAGCCACUGAUAAGUCAUUGCUUUCAGGAUGACCAGCUUCUUAGCCAAUGGCCAUCUUGAUGAUGGCCAAUGUUGUAGAGGUGAUUGUACUGUGAUCUCUUGCUGUAGCUUUCUAAGUAAAAUACCGUGAUCUCCUGUAUUGGCCUUUAGUUGGACCGAGAGAGAACACCAUUUUCUUGGCAUCAGAUGCUCCUUUGGUAAUAACUGUGCAUCAUUGUUCAUGAACAACUAGGACAUGCAAGAGGUGCAGCCCCAUUACUACCAACAAAAUGAAUACUCCCAACCAACAUGGCGCUUUUCAACCAAUUAAGUUGUGCUUCUACUCAAGGCAGAUUGAAGAGAUUGUUUGGCUGAAAAAUUAGGUGGGAUUGUUUAAAUAUAGCCCCAGAUCAACACUUUUUGUUUUGCGGUCUUGCAUCUGUAGAUGGUUGAAAACAGAUCUGAAGACCUGCAGAAAGUAGAUAGAUGUAAUUUGUUAAACCACUGCUGACAAGUCUGAGGAAAAGGCCCUUCCUUUCAAUGAUGUUUCAAUUGAUAGCAAAGUGCAAUCUACAUUUGGAAAUGGUGGCCUCCAUGAGUGUGUAGUAAUACAGCUUGGAAUUAAAACAUGGUUU